ACGAGAUAGGGUCCUCCGGGCCCGAACCUCCAACCCUUUGCGUACCUUACCUUUGUUGCUUCGGCGGGCCCGCUGGGUUUUCGACGCCCACCGCCGGCGCCAGGCCGGCGAGCGCCCGCCGGAGGCCCCCGAAACUCCGUUUGCCAGUGACGUCUGAGCACCACACAAUCGUUAAAAACUUUCAACAACGGAUCUCUUGGUUCCGGCAUCGAUGAAGAACGCAGCGAAAUGCGAUAAGUAAUGUGAAUUGCAGAAUUCAGUGAAUCAUCGAAUCUUUGAACGCACAUUGCGCCCCCUGGCAUUCCGGGGGGCAUGCCUGUUCGAGCGUCAUUACGCCCCUCAAGCUCCGCUUGGUGUUGGGCCCCGUCCCCCGGGACGGGCCUGAAAGUGAGUGGCGGCCCGGCCUGACUUCGAGCGCAGUAGCUUAAAAACCCGCUCCGGAAGCCUUUCAGGUCGCCCCGGCCAGACAACCCGACUGUACAUUUCUACGGUUGACCUCGGAUCAGGUAGGGAUACC
rnacentral:rRNA from 1 species